GUCAAUUUGGCCGAGUGGUUAAGGCGGCAGACUCGAAAUCUGCUGGGGUUUCCCCGCGCAGGUUCAAAUCCUGCAGUUGACG
rfam:Physcomitrella patens subsp. patens PHYPAscaffold_87 genomic scaffold, whole genome shotgun sequence.